UAAACGUCUCCAUUAGCGGUUACAACUUUUCUUAAGUUCAUGCUAUAAAGCUUAAUAACAACAACCCCACUCUUUUCACCACCUUACUCCAUCUGCCGCCAUUGCCCCUAUAGUCUCUUAUCUACCUGCAAAUGUCAAACCUAGCGUUCUCCAGGUUUCGAACCCUUUCGGUACAAAAGCCAAAGAUUUUCAUCUCCAAUCUGACCCUUAAGUCAGAGCCUCGAUUGAUUCUCUCGCCGGAUUCGCGGCUCAAGAUUGCGCUGCUUCGCAAGCAGCAACGUCGGUGAUGGGUUAGCGAUAGGUGAGACUCGGAUGUUUCCGGAGAUUUUCAAAGCUUUAAGUGCUAGAGGAAUUCAGAAACUCUUUCCUAUUCGGAAUUGUGCUUGAGCCAGAUAUACAAGGUCGUGCUAGGACAUGAACUAGAAAGACUCUUGCUUUUGGGAUUCCUGUCAUUGACAGAAUCAAAAAGAUUUGAUAUGUGAAAAACGUGGGAAGAACCCUAUUUGUUUGGUUUUGAUGCGCUGAACAGAAGAGUGAGCAACCGUCUGGAUAAAUCAACAACAGGUGCAUAU